rnacentral:rRNA from 1 species
GAUGAACGCUGGCGGCGUGCCUAAUACAUGCAAGUCGAGCGAACGGACGAGAAGCUUGCUUCUCUGAUGUUAGCGGCGGACGGGUGAGUAACACGUGGAUAACCUACCUAUAAGACUGGGAUAACUUCGGGAAACCGGAUCUAAUACCGGAUGAUAUUUUGAACCGCAUGGUUCAAAAGUGAAAGACGGUCUUGCUGUCACUUCAAGAUGGAUCCGCGCUGCAUUCGCUAGUUGGUAAGGUAACGGCUAACCAAGGCAACGAUGCAUAGCCGACCUGAGAGGGUGUUCGUCCACACUGGAACUGAGACACGGUCCAGACUCCUACGGGAGGCAGCAGUAGGGAAUCUUCCGCGAUGGGCGAAAGCCUGACGGAGCAACGCCGCGUGAGUGAUGAAGGUCUUCGGAUCGUAAAACUCUGUUAUUAGGGAAGAACAUAUGUGUAAGUAACUGUGCACAUCUUGACGGUACCUAAUCAGAAAGCCACGGCUAACUACGUG